UACGUAGGGUGCGAGCGCUAAUCGGAAUUACUGGGCGUAAAGCGUGCGCAGGCGGUGAUGUAAGACAGGUGUGAAAUCCCCGGGCUUAACCUGGGAACUGCAUUUGUGACUGCAUCGCUGGAGUGCGGCAGAGGGGGAUGGAAUUCCGCGUGUAGCAGUGAAAUGCGUAGAUAUGCGGAGGAACACCGAUGGCGAAGGCAAUCCCCUGGGCCUGCACUGACGCUCAUGCACGAAAGCGUGGGGAGCAAACAGG
rnacentral:rRNA from 1 species